UACGGGGGGGGCAAGCGUUGUUCGGAAUUACUGGGCGUAAAGGGCUUGUAGGCGGCCAACUAAGUCGGAUGUGAAAUCCCCAAGCUUAACUUGGGAACUGCAUCCGAUACUGGAUGGCUUGAAUCCGGGAGAGGGAUGCAGAAUUCCAGGUGUAGCGGUGAAAUGCGUAGAUAUCUGGAGGAAUACCGGCGGCGAAGGCGGCAUCCUGGACCGGCAUUGACGCUGAGGAGCGAAAGCUAGGGGAGCAAACGGG
rnacentral:rRNA from 1 species